ACAAAUCCCACCCCGCCUUUCCAUCUCCUCGAGGCUGUAAUCGGUACUUUCACCUUUAGAUUUCCAGGUUUCGUACCAAGUAAACAAUUGGCCACAUUCCAUGGCACCAAACUUUCUUGGUUCCCAGGUUUGACUAUAUAGUUUGGACCAGCAGUUGAAGUGGUAUCCAAUUAACUUCUCUUCUUCCCCUAUCGAUCCUUCCUGCCUCAACCAGCACACCAUGUCGUUGACGCCACUGCUUGUCAAGUCGCUGGUGAGGCUGGUGGGGCUGUUGGUGAGCCGGCCGGCGGUGUCGGUGACGACGAUACUCUACCACAGCGACGCGCUGCCGAGGAACCCCGGCCUGCAGCGACUCGUCCGCGACGAGCUACUCGACGAUGAGAACUACCUGUUCCACUUCCUCAUCAGCAUGCUCAAAUGCUUCUGGUAGAUCGCGCGUGCAAUUCUUGACCGCCACAUUCUUAUUACCUUUUCAUUACUACUGUUCAUCAGCAGCCAUUUUAAUCGGUAGCUUCUUCCUUAA